AUUGAACGCUGGCGGCAUGCUUUACACAUGCAAGUCGAACGGUAACAGGUUAAGCUGACGAGUGGCGAACGGGUGAGUAAUGCAUCGGAACGUGCCCGGUCGUGGGGGAUAACGCAGCGAAAGCUGCGCUAAUACCGCAUACGAGCUGAGGAUGAAAGCGGGGGACCGUAAGGCCUCGCGCGAUCGGAGCGGCCGAUGUCAGAUUAGGUAGUUGGUGGGGUAAAGGCUCACCAAGCCGACGAUCUGUAGCUGGUCUGAGAGGACGACCAGCCACACUGGGACUGAGACACGGCCCAGACUCCUACGGGAGGCAGCAGUGGGGAAUUUUGGACAAUGGGCGCAAGCCUGAUCCAGCAAUGCCGCGUGCAGGAAGAAGGCCUUCGGGUUGUAAACUGCUUUUGUACGGAGCGAAAAGGCUCUCUCUAAUACAGGGGGUUCAUGACGGUACCGUAAGAAUAAGCACCGGCUAACUACGUGCCAGCAGCCGCAGUAAUAC
rnacentral:rRNA from 1 species